rnacentral:lncRNA from 1 species
CAUUAGUGAAGGUUGUAGUCUGGGUGGCAGCUCAUUAGUCAGUCUGUCUGCAGUGUCUGGUUGCAUCGUGCCUCGUUCAUACCACAGAGGCCCUUGUAUAACCGCCUGGAAGCUUUCCACCUGGAUAAACAUGGCGGAGGACCUGGCAUCCAGCACUGCUGACGAUAGUCUGCCUACGCAGUGGAAUCCCUGCAGCCGUCGCAGCAGGAAGUCGGGCUGCUCCAACAUCUUCUCAGGGGUCAAACUGCAUCAGCUGCACAAGUUGUUCAGAAAAGCCGGGGACAGAGACGCCGAGCACCGGGCCAAGCUGGUGUGGCGAGGAAUGGACACGGAUGUGGAACCAACAGAAGAGGCAAAAGAAGAGGAAGAGACAGAAGAUGAGGCAGGGCUGGCACAGGCCCUAGUAGGGCUGAGAGUCCGAGCAAGAAACAAAGGAGGAAUCAGAGCAGAGGGACACAGAGACAAUAAUAAGUGGCUGAGAGAAUCUGGAUAUCUCAGGAUUGAGGAGCCACUUUCUGGUUACAGUGUUGAGGAUGAAGAGGCCGACCUAGCACAGAGUCCUGGAGAAUUUCUGCUGCAGACCGACCACGACGCCUCAGGAAACCAAAAUCCCUUCAAACCGUUGUCAUGGAGAUUGGGUGUAGUGAGGCUGGAGGGCGCCAGGGACUCAGAGCGCUACCUCCACCGCAUCCUCCAUUAAAAACUACCUGGAGUUUGGAGUACCACACGGGAAAGAGGAUGAAACAAAAAGUCAUGAAAUACAAGACUGACUUUGCAUGAAAGGACAUGCUGUAUCACUACUGUUAGAGCACAAUGACAAACUUCAGUGAUGUGUCCUGGUGUUUAAUAGAAAUGGGCUGUCAUGUGUGAAGCCCCAUUCAAUUAUUUUUUUAGUUAAUAUUGAUGACAUGGAACAUGGAAUCAGCAUUCUUUUACCAUCCAGCAGCUAUAGAUGCAAUAUUCCAUCUCUUAGCUGUUUUUGUUCCUGUGCAAAAUAUGUGACAUUUAAGCUGCCAAAUUCGUCCAAUUUUUCAGAUUACUGUGAUGUAAUCUGAAUUAAUGUUCCUUUAAAAAGCAGGAAAUGACUCAGAUGAAGACAGUGAGUGUUGAAAGUUGAUGAAACUGUGGACUAUCUGUAAAUUUGUUACUACCCGACGUUAACUCCCC